GACGAACGCUGGCGGCGUGCCUAAUACAUGCAAGUUGAGCGAUGAAGCUUGGUGCUUGCCCCAAUUUGAAGAGCAGCGAACGGGUGAGUAACGCGUGGGGAAUCUGCCUUUGAGCGGGGGACAACAUUUGGAAACGAAUGCUAAUACCGCAUAACAACUUUAAACAUAAGUUUUAAGUUUGAAGGAUGCAAUUGCAUCACUCAAAGAUGAUCCCGCGUUGUAUUAGCUAGUUGGUGAGGUAAAGGCUCACCAAGGCGAUGAUACAUAGCCGACCUGAGAGGGUGAUCGGCCACAUUGGGACUGAGACACGGCCCAAACUCCUACGGGAGGCAGCAGUAGGGAAUCUUCGGCAAUGGACGAAAGUCUGACCGAGCAACGCCGCGGGAGUGAAGAAGGUUUUCGGAUCGUAAAACUCUGUUGGUAGAGAAGAACGUUGGUGAGAGUGGAAAGCUCAUCAAGUGACGGUAACUACCCAGAAAGGGACGGCUAACUACGUG
rnacentral:rRNA from 1 species